rnacentral:rRNA from 1 species
AGCACCACAACAGGUGGAGCCUGCGGUUUAAUCGGACUCAACGCCGGGAAACUCACCAGAUAAGACAGCUGAAUGAUAGUCGGGCUGAAGACUCUACUUGACUAGCUGAGAGGAGGUGCAUGGCCGUCGUCAGUUCGUACUGUGAAGCAUCCUGUUAAGUCAGGCAACGAGCGAGACCCACGCCAACAGUUGCCAGCUCGUCCUCCGGGAUGGUGGGGACACUGUUGGGACCGCCUCUGCUAAAGAGGAGGAAGGAAUGGGCAACGGUAGGUCAGCAUGCCCCGAAUUAUCUGGGCUACACGCGGGCUACAAUGGACAGGACAAUGGGCUCCGAUCCCGAAAGGGAAAGGCAAUCCUUUAAACCUGUUCUUAGUUCGGAUUGAGGGCUGUAACUCGCCCUCAUGAAGCUGGAAUCUCUAGUAAUCGCGUGUCAUCAUCGCGCGGUGAAUACGUCCCUGCUCCUU